UACGGAGGGGACUAGCGUUGUUCGGAAUUACUGGGCGUAAAGCGCACGUAGGCGGAUUUGUAAGUCAGGGGUGAAAUCCCGGGGCUCAACCUCGGAACUGCCUUUGAUACUGCAAAUCUCGAGUCCGGAAGAGGUGAGUGGAAUUCCUAGUGUAGAGGUGAAAUUCGUAGAUAUCGAGAGGAACACCGGUGGCGAAGGCGGCCAACUGGACGAAUACUGACGCUGAGACUCGAAAGCGUGGGGAGCAAACAGG
rnacentral:rRNA from 1 species